AUUGUCAUCAGUGCGCCAUUUUUGUUUUUGGUGCUUGCUGCGGCUUGAUUUUUAUUAAAAACAGGAUAGGUAUCCGUGUGAAUAAAUUAUUCUAAAUAAAAUAAAUACCUGGGACAUGAUUAGUAGUGAAAAGUCCCUUGUGUACAUGGACAAACGGCACUCCGCUAGUACAAUUUCUAAUUUCAGCGCAAACACGGCAUUCCGGAACAUCGAUGGAUGGAAUGCCGCCCAGCCAGGAGUGCAACGAAAUAAAAUGAUCAAUACUCGCAAUGAGCAGCUUCAUCGUUUGGAAUUCCCGAUCUGAUAUUCCGAUUUACAAAAAGCUCAUCGGAUAAGAAACCGGAUGUCGAUCCGGCUUCUGACUAAGCGAUUGGAAUAAAUUUGCCGAGGAAUCGUAUAGGGAUAGAAAAAAAAGGAUAGUCGAAACGGAAUAAAAACAACGAGCGGCAGAAAGGAAUGCUAAAUGUAACGAAAAGUUGACGAGAAGGCGAUUCAACUCGAUCAGCUAGUCCAGUCAAACUUUCAGCCAUGCGAGAUUCUUACGCAUCAAGAACAUGCCUCGCUGUCAGACGAUCGAUUAGUUACUAUAGAUGUCCAAGUAUUAUGAGCUGUAGAUGAAGAUGCCGGCUACUUUGCGGUUUCAAAGUUCCUCCGAAUGCUGAAGCCUUCCGUGACGCUCUGUUUAACAUCACUCCAGUGAAGGGAAUCCGGAAGCGAACCCUGCAGAGAAAUUGUCGCCCAAUCUGCGGAAAGUUCUGCCGUAGACCACGGACCACAAUGAUAAUCCAGCACCUGCCGACGAUGACGAAAACGUGGAUAAAUCAGUUGACCGGUUCAAGGUGUAUCGUCAUUGCAUGAGACCCGACCCCUAAAGGCGACGGGAUACAGGACAGGACCUUCAUGACAAAUCAGCAUAUAGUGAGCAAAAAAUUAUGAUAUUUAUUAUUAUUUUAUUAUUCAUUAUGAUGUAUUAAAUAUA